AUUGAACGCUGGCGGCAGGCCUAACACAUGCAAGUCGAGCGGAGCGGCGGACGGGUGAGUAAUGCCUAGGAAUCUGCCUGGUAGUGGGGGAUCACGUCCGGAAACGGGCGCUAAUACCGCAUACUCUAAGGUGACCCUAGGUCGGAUUAGCUAGUUGGUGGGGUAAAGGCCUACCAAGGUGACGAGCCGUAACUGGUCUGAGAGGAUGAUCAGUCACACUGGAACUGAGACACGGGCCAGACUCCUACGGGAGGCAGCAGUGGGGAAUAUUGGACAAUGGGCGAAAGCCUGAUCCAGCCAUGCCGCGUGUGUGAAGAAGGUCUUCGGAUUGUAAAGCACUUUAAGUUGGGAGGCGUUACCAACAGAAUAAGCACCGGCUAACUACGUGCCAGCAGCCGCGGUAAUUC
rnacentral:rRNA from 1 species